UACAGAGGGUGCGAGCGUUAAUCGGAAUUACUGGGCGUAAAGCGCGCGUAGGCGGCUUUGCAAGUCGGGUGUGAGAUCCCCAGGCUUAACCUGGGAACUGCACUCGAGACUGCAUCGCUAGAGUAUGGGAGAGGGAAGUGGAAUUUCAGGUGUAGCGGUGAAAUGCGUAGAUAUCUGAAGGAACAUCAGUGGCGAAAGCGACUUCCUGGACCAAUACUGACGCUCAUGUGCGAAAGCGUGGGGAGCAAACAGG
rnacentral:rRNA from 1 species